rnacentral:rRNA from 1 species
GACGAACGCUGGCGGCGUGCUUAACACAUGCAAGUCGAACGGAAAGGCCCUGCUUUUGUGGGGUGCUCGAGUGGCGAACGGGUGAGUAACACGUGAGUAACCUGCCCUUGACUUUGGGAUAACUUCAGGAAACUGGGGCUAAUACCGGAUAGGAGCUCCUGCUGCAUGGUGGGGGUUGGAACGUUUCGGCGGUUGGGGAUGGACUCGCGGCUUAUCAGCUUGUUGGUGGGGUAGUGGCUUACCAAGGCUUUGACGGGUAGCCGGCCUGAGAGGGUGACCGGCCACAUUGGGACUGAGAUACGGCCCAGACUCCUACGUGAGGCAGCAGUGGGGAAUAUUGCACAAUGGGCGGAAGCCUGAUGCAGAAACGCCGCGUGCGGGAUGACGGCCUUCGGGUUGUAAACCGCUUUCGCCUGUGACGAAGCGUGAGUGACGGUAAUGGGUAAAGAAGCACCGGCUAACUACGUG